rnacentral:rRNA from 1 species
AACGAACGCUGGCGGCAUGCCUAACACAUGCAAGUCGAACGAGACCUUCGGGUCUAGUGGCGCACGGGUGCGUAACGCGUGGGAACCUGCCCUUAGGUUCGGAAUAACUCCCCGAAAGGGGUGCUAAUACCGGAUAAUGUCUUCGGACCAAAGAUUUAUCGCCUUUGGAUGGGCCCGCGUUGGAUUAGCUAGUUGGUAGGGUAAAAGCCUACCAAGGCGACGAUCCAUAGCUGGUCUGAGAGGAUGAUCAGCCACACUGGGACUGAGACACGGCCCAGACUCCUGCGGGAAGCAGCAGUGGGGAAUAUUGGACAAUGGGCGAAAGCCUGAUCCAGCAAUGCCGCGUGAGUGAUGAAGGCCUUAGGGUUGUAAAGCUCUUUUACCCGGGAUGAUAAUGACAGUACCGGGAGAAUAAGCGCCGGCUAACUCCGUG